rnacentral:rRNA from 1 species
AAAGUUAAUGCGUGGUCUGCCUUCAUCAAAUGUUCGUAAAGGUACUAUCAGUGCAUCUUUGGCAUUCGGUAGUUAUUGUAACUACUUCGAAUUAUUUCAAGUUCACCAGUAAAUAAUGCAAUCUUGCAGUUUAGCUGCAAAGGUUCACUUUCGAGGGAAUUGCCCGCGUUCGGAUCCUGUGAUGUCAAUGUGUCCGGAUAACGUUCGGACCCUCAGUAUUACCGCGGCUUAUGGCACGGAGUUAGCCGGUCCUUAUUGAUUGUAGUACCGUCAAGCUCUCACACGUGGGAGGGUUUCUUCCUACAGAAAAGCAGUUUACAACCCAUAGGGCUGUCAUCUUGCACGCGGCAUGGCUGGAUCAGAGUUGCCUCCAUUGUCCAAUAUUCCUCACUGCUGCCUCCCGUAGGAGUCUGGUCCGUGUCUCAGUACCAGUGUGGGGGAUCCCCCUCUCAGGGCCCCUACCUAUCGAAGUCUUGGUGAGCCGUUACCUCACCAACAAACUAAUAGGACGCAUAGUCAUCUUGUACCGUAAUCUUUAAAGUAUAAAUGAUGCCAUAAAUACUUACUAUAGGGUAUUAAUCUUCGUUUCCAAAGGCUAUCCCCUAGUACAAGGUAGAUUCUAUACGCGUUACGCACCCGUGCGCCGGUCGUCAGCAAGUAGCAAGCUACCUCUGUUACCCCUCGACUUGCAUGUGUUAAGCCUGCCGCUAGCGUUCAUCCUGAGCCAGGAUCAAACUCU